rnacentral:rRNA from 1 species
GUAGGUGGCAAGCGUUGUCCGGAAUUAUUGGGCGUAAAGCGCGCGCAGGCGGUUCUUUAAGUCUGAUGUGAAAGCCCACGGCUCAACCGUGGAGGGUCAUUGGAAACUGGAGAACUUGAGUACAGAAGAGGAAAGCGGAAUUCCACGUGUAGCGGUGAAAUGCGUAGAGAUGUGGAGGAACACCAGUGGCGAAGGCGACUUUCUGGUCUGUAACUGACGCUGAGGCGCGAAAGCGUGGGGAGCAAACAGGGAUUAGAUACCCUGGUAGUCCACGCCGUAAACGAUGAGUGCUAAGUGUUAGGGGGUUUCCCGCCCCUUAGUGCUGCAGCUAACGCAUUAAGCACUCCGCCUGGGGAGUACGCCGCAAGGCUG